rnacentral:lncRNA from 1 species
CGUGUGGGUCUGCGGGGGAGAGAGCCCUGUGCGUGGCACCGGGGUGCGGGGUGUGUGUGUGUGUGUGUGUGUGUGUGCUGCUGUAAGAGGGGCCGUGUAGGUGCAGGUACAUAUGUGUGUGUGUGUGUGUGGGUGUGUUGGAGCUGCAGUCCCUGCCUGCAGAGGUGUGCAUGUGUGAGCAAAUGUGUGCAUUGUGUGUGCAGGCGUGUACACGUCUGCAUAUGUGUGUGUGUGCUUACGUGUGUGUGCAUGGAUGUGUGUGUGUGUGUGCAGAGCAGGCUGCAGUCUCUCUGCGGGGAGAUGUAUGUGCUGGUGUGAGCAAGAGUGUCAGCAUCUGUGCAGUGUGUACAUGCUUGUACACUUGUGUGCGUGUGCAAGCAGCAGGGCUGCAGCUCCUCACUGCAGGGCUGUGUGUGUGCAUGUGUGUGAGCACAGGGUGAGGUUGCAGUCUCUCCCUGCAGGGUGUGUGUGUGUGUGAGCAGUGUGUGCAUGUGUGUGCAAUGUGUGUGUACACAGCAGCGGUGCAGGCCCUGCAGGUGUGUGCGUGGGUUGUGUGUGUGCGUGUGCAUUCUGGGGCUGCAGCCUCACAGCGUGUGCACGAGCUUGCACGUGGAAGCCAGAGGCAGCAGCUGCUGCCAGCAGAGCUCUGUUUACAUCUGUGUUUAUAUCUGAGUGUGCAUGCGUGCACACGUGCCUGGGGCCGCAUUCCGUGCAGCACUGUGCACGCGCGAUGUGUGUGCGUGCAACGCGUGCCCGCCGUGCACACCCCGUGGGCUGCAGUCCCUGCAGAUGUGUCGGCGUGCAGCUGCUUGCACGCGUGCCCGAGGGGCUGCGGUCCCCGCGGAGCCGUGCACACGUUCAAUGCACACGUUUAAGGCACACGCGCGCAGCGCAGGCACGCGCAGCGCACACUUGUGCAACGCGCACACGUGCAAUCGGGCGGCUGCGGGCGUCGCUGUGCGGGCAGCGGGGCUGCGUGCGGGCCGAGCCGGGGGGAUGGGGG